GAAUUCGCUUGCUGGGCGGCUGCGGAGGCAAGGCGGCGGGCCCAUGGCCGCGGCGGCGGAGCCCAGCAAGGUGGUGGCGGCGGCCCCGGCCGUGAGACUAUGGGAAACACCUAUAUCAGGCAGCAGCGAUAUAGGAAGAUGCUGAAAGGCUCAUACUGCGUGGGAGAUGGCCAUGGUAAACCCCUACCAAAGAAAACCACAUGGCUCUGUGCUUGCCAGGAGUCAACACAGACUCGACGGCACAACUUUACUUUAUGAGCUUCUUCCUGCUGUGGAUAAUCAUCACUGCAGCCUGCCUGAAGCAACUCCAGCCCCAGCGUGCCAUCCAUCCUGCAAUAAUUUCAUCCUUUUUUUGAGAAAAAGAGAAGAGGAGGAGGAAAAUUAUUUAAAACAACAACAAAAAAUCUGCCUUGCUGCAAGGCCAGCCUGCUGGCUGUGCAUCCAGUCUCUCCUGCAUUUUCUGUCUUUGUUUUAAAUUGAGCAAGAGAGAAUAUUGGUAGAAAAGGAGGGUUUUUUUCCUCCUUUUUAAAUCCCCCCCCCCGAUUUUUUGCAACUUCUUCCUGCUGUGGAGAGAGAAAAUCAUUUAUCACUGCUGCCUGUGCCUGCCUGCCUGCCUGCCUGCACUUCCACUCCAGGCCCAGUGUGCCAUCCUCCUGUGACCAGACCCUCAGAGGGGGACUACAGAGACCCAGCGUUGGAGAAGCCUUCAACUGAGUGAGAGUGGCCCAACCAUUUAUAUUUCACACACACACACACACACACAUACACACAGAUCUUUCUCUAGUCUCCCUUCAAUUGUGUAUUUGGGGUUUAUUUUAUCCCUGUUUGGAGGGAGGUUAAGGUUUGGGGGUUUAACUGUUCUCAAAAAGUUUUGUGAUAUUUGGAAGAUUGGGUUUUAAAUAGGGGUUCUUCAGUGUGUGUUGCCUUAGAGUCUAUAGGCUGGAUCCCCAUUAGCUAGGUAGUAGUAGGUGGUAGUUCAACUGUAGAGUAGACUGGAAGCGUAGCCUAGUAGUGCUUUAAAUAAAUAAUUCUUUUUUCCCCUCCCAAGAAAUUUUAUUUUGAAGAGGAAAGGAGCCUGAGCUUGUUCCAGUGCUUGCGCUAAUAAAGGAUUAAUUCAGCUCAAUGGUCUCAGCACUGACUCCUCCUAUCCUGAGUCCUGCAUACACUUUUGUGUUGUUGCUUUUUAAAAAAUAUUGAAAGCCCCUAGCCCAGUGGCGUAUUUAGGGAAAAUAGCGCCCAGGGCAAGCACUGAAAUUGUGCCCCCCCCCAUCCAAACAUCUGACACCCAUCUUUCAGAUAACUCUCAGACACACACAUGCAAGAAUGAUAUAAUCUAUAUAAACACAACCUCCCUGUUUUUUCCCACCACUCCUUAUUUCAGAGGCUCUUCUUAACGCAAUUUCAAAGACACUAACAAUCCCCAAAGCAACCAGCCACAUUCUAUAUUUCUAGAGCAUCUUUACCUCCAACAACCAAUCCUGAACUCUAGCAAAGCAACCUGAGCUUGUUCACUGGGUAUAACUUCUCACACAAAGCUAAUUCAAACCAAUUUCAGGUUUAGAAACUAUGGAGGUUCAGAUAAAGGACUUGAAGCAAAUGCUCUUCUCAUCAAUAGUUUUGAUAAAGUCUCUUGUUUGUGUGUACUUAGAAGACCUGACUACACAUGCGUAAGAAAUUAUUUUCUGCCACUUUUCAUUGUUUACUCUCUGGGUUAGUCACAAACUACUCCAAAAGGGGUAAAUGGGGUCCAUCAGGUACAGGUCUUGGCAGGAUUAUGCAAACUGCUACCUAAAUAUGUAGUAAAGACCAAAGCUUUUGUGAGGGAUCAGACAACUCCCUCCCCUUUUUUAAAAAGUCAGAGAGACCCUAAAAAGGAUGAACAAUCUCUAUCAGAGAAAUGGGAAGAAAAUCGCUCUCCCCCUCUGCUCUGAAUCUUAUGCUGAACAGGCACCAACAGGGGCAUUCAAACUGCAAGAGCAUUUCAGUUAAAAGGCUUCAGCAAAGUACUGUUGUGAGUGUAGAAGGGAGACAGAAGACUAUUGACAUUUAUACUGUUACUGUUACAUGAGUAAGUGGUAAGCUGCAGAUAUGUUUUCUUCUCCCUUCACAAGUAUGAGCGUUUCUCUUUUCCCCACCCUCCUGUUAUCAGUGAUAGCCAGGAUU